AUUGAACGCUGGCGGCAUGCCUUACACAUGCAAGUCGAACGGUAACAGGUCUUCGGAUGCUGACGAGUGGCGAACGGGUGAGUAAUACAUCGGAACGUGCCCGAUCGUGGGGGAUAACGGAGCGAAAGCUUUGCUAAUACCGCAUACGAUCUACGGAUGAAAGCAGGGGACCGCAAGGCCUUGCGCGGACGGAGCGGCCGAUGGCAGAUUAGGUAGUUGGUGGGAUAAAAGCUUACCAAGCCGACGAUCUGUAGCUGGUCUGAGAGGCGGACCAGCCACACUGGGACGGAGACACGGCCCAGACUCCUACGGGAGGCAGCAGUGGGGAAUUUUGGGCAAGGGGCGAAAGCCUGGUCCAGCCAUGCCGCGUGCAGGAUGAAGGCCUUCGGGUUGUAAACUGCUUUUGUACGGAACGAAAAGACUCUUUCUAAUAAAGAGGGUCCAUGACGGUACCGUAAGAAUAAGCACCGGCUAACUACGUG
rnacentral:rRNA from 1 species